ensembl:snRNA U6 U6 spliceosomal RNA
GUGCUCCCUUCGGCAGCACAUAUACUAAAAUUGGAACGAUACAGAGAUUACCAUGGCCCCUAAAAAAAAAUAGUUUGGUAGUUCUAGACAUCUUAAACUCUACG